rnacentral:rRNA from 1 species
UACGUAGGGUGCAAGCGUUAAUCGGAAUUACUGGGCGUAAAGCGUGCGCAGGCGGUUGUGCAAGACAGAGGUGAAAUCCCCGAGCUUAACUUGGGAACUGCCUUUGUGACUGCACGGCUAGAGUGUGUCAGAGGGGGGUAGAAUUCCACGUGUAGCAGUGAAAUGCGUAGAGAUGUGGAGGAAUACUGAUGGCGAAGGCAGCCCCCUGGGAUAACACUGACGCUCAUGCACGAAAGCGUGGGGAGCAAACAGG